rnacentral:lncRNA from 1 species
CAGCCCACAAACCUGGACAUCAUGCUGAUGCCUCUUCAUGACCACUCCUGCAACCAUCCCAUCCCAUUCUUCAACUGAUACUUUGGAAUGAGCAACUAAACCACUGGAAACAUAUUAUCACUGAUGCUAACAAGUGGAAUUUGGGGAAAGAAUGAACAAGUAAAUGCUAUGGACCUG